GGUCUUAUAUUCAAAAAUGAUUUUAGAUUGCAAAUCUAAAGGUGUGAAUUUCACUAAGUCCU
rnacentral:tRNA from 1 species